rnacentral:rRNA from 1 species
AACGAACGUUGGCGGCAUGCCUAACACAUGCAAGUCGAACGAGACCUUCGGGUCUAGUGGCGCACGGGUGCGUAACGCGUGGGAACCUGCCCUUAGGUUCGGAAUAACUCCCCGAAAGGGGUGCUAAUACCGGAUAAUGUCUUCGGACCAAAGAUUUAUCGCCUUUGGAUGGGCCCGCGUUGGAUUAGCUAGUUGGUAGGGUAAAAGACUACCAAGGCGACGAUCCAUAGCUGGUCUGAGAGGAUGAUCAGCCACACUGGGACUGAGACACGGCCCAGACUCCUACGGGAGGCAGCAGUGGGGAAUAUUGGACAAUGGGCGAAAGCCUGAUCCAGCAAUGCCGCGUGAGUGAUGAAGGCCUUAGGGUUGUAAAGCUCUUUUACCCGGGAUGAUAAUGACAGUACCGGGAGAAUAAGCUCCGGCUAACUCCGUG